UUAAUUUUCAGGAACCAAGCCUGACUUGGGUCACAAGUGAAAAGAGAAUGAGGUGGCUUCCUAUGCUUUUUGUGAACAGCUCAAAACUGCCACCCAGCUCAGAACAAGCAGAUGUGUCACAGAAAUCCCAUUGAGAAGCUAAACAUGAGGUUUUAUGACACAGACCAAGAAACCUGAUGUGCAAGCUCCCUCUGCUGGCUCCAAACACAACUUACUG